rnacentral:rRNA from 1 species
UCUGGUGAUGAUGGCGAAGAGGUCACACCCGUUCCCAUACCGAACACGGAAGUUAAGCUCUUCAGCGCCGAUGGUAGUUGGGGGUUUCCCCCUGUGAGAGUAGGACAUCGCUAGGC